rnacentral:rRNA from 1 species
GUCCCAAGGGUAUGGCUGUUCGCCAUUUAAAGUGGUACGCGAGCUGGGUUUAGAACGUCGUGAGACAGUUCGGUCCCUAUCUGCCGUGGGCGUUUGAGAUUUGAGAAGAGCUGCUCCUAGUACGAGAGGACCGGAGUGGACGAACCUCUGGUGUUCCGGUUGUAUCGCCAGAUGCAUUGCCGGGUAGCUACGUUCGGACAGGAUAACCGCUGAAAGCAUCUAAGCGGGAAACCUCCUUCAAGAUGAGAUCUCACUGGAACUUCGAGUUCCCUGUAGGGCCCAGGAAGACUACCUGGUUGAUAGGUUGGGUGUGUAAGCGCUGUGAGGCGUUGAGCUAACCAAUACUAAUUGCCCGUGAGGCUUGACCAUAUAACACCCAA